rnacentral:rRNA from 1 species
GACGAACGCUGGCGGCGUGCUUAACACAUGCAAGUCGAACGGAAAGGCCCUGCUUGCAGGGUACUCGAGUGGCGAACGGGUGAGUAACACGUGGGUGAUCUGCCCUGCACUUCGGGAUAAGCCUGGGAAACUGGGUCUAAUACCGGAUAGGAGCCAUUUUUAGUGUGAUGGUUGGAAAGUUUUUUCGGUGUAGGAUGAGCUCGCGGCCUAUCAGCUUGUUGGUGGGGUAAUGGCCUACCAAGGCGGCGACGGGUAGCCGGCCUGAGAGGGUGGACGGCCACAUUGGGACUGAGAGACGGCCCAGACACCUACGGGAGGCAGCAGUGGGGAAGAUUGCACAAUGGGCGCAAGCCUGAUGCAGCGACGCCGCGGGGGGGAUGACGGCCUUCGGGUUGUAAACUCCUUUCGCUAGGGACGAAGCUUUUUGUGACGGUACCUAGAUAAGAAGCACCGGCUAACUACGUG